GACGAACGCUGGCGGCGUGCCUAAUACAUGCAAGUCGAACGAACUCUGGUAUUGAUUGGUGCUUGCAUCAUGAUUUACAUUUGAGUGAGUGGCGAACUGGUGAGUAACACGUGGGAAACCUGCCCAGAAGCGGGGGAUAACACCUGGAAACAGAUGCUAAUACCGCAUAACAACUUGGACCGCAUGGUCCGAGUUUGAAAGAUGGCUUCGGCUAUCACUUUUGGAUGGUCCCGCGGCGUAUUAGCUAGAUGGUGGGGUAACGGCUCACCAUGGCAAUGAUACGUAGCCGACCUGAGAGGGUAAUCGGCCACAUUGGGACUGAGACACGGCCCAAACUCCUACGGGAGGCAGCAGUAGGGAAUCUUCCACAAUGGACGAAAGUCUGAUGGAGCAACGCCGCGUGAGUGAAGAAGGGUUUCGGCUCGUAAAACUCUGUUGUUAAAGAAGAACAUAUCUGAGAGUAACUGUUCAGGUAUUGACGGUAUUUAACCAGAAAGCCACGGCUAACUACGUGCCAGCAGCCGCGGUAAUACGUAGGUGGCAAGCGUUGUCCGGAUUUAUUGGGCGUAAAGCGAGCGCAGGCGGUUUUUUAAGUCUGAUGUGAAAGCCUUCGGCUCAACCGAAGAAGUGCAUCGGAAACUGGGAAACUUGAGUGCAGAAGAGGACAGUGGAACUCCAUGUGUAGCGGUGAAAUGCGUAGAUAUAUGGAAGAACACCAGUGGCGAAAGCGGCUGUCUGGUCUGUAACUGACGCUGAGGCUCGAAAGUAUGGGUAGCAAACAGGAUUAGAUACCCUGGUAGUCCAUACCGUAAACGAUGAAUGCUAAGUGUUGGAGGGUUUCCGCCCUUCAGUGCUGCAGCUAACGCAUUAAGCAUUCCGCCUGGGGAGUACGGCCGCAAGGCUGAAACUCAAAGGAAUUGACGGGGGCCCGCACAAGCGGUGGAGCAUGUGGUUUAAUUCGAAGCUACGCGAAGAACCUUACCAGGUCUUGACAUACUAUGCAAAUCUAAGAGAUUAGACGUUCCCUUCGGGGACAUGGAUACAGGUGGUGCAUGGUUGUCGUCAGCUCGUGUCGUGAGAUGUUGGGUUAAGUCCCGCAACGAGCGCAACCCUUAUUAUCAGUUGCCAGCAUUAAGUUGGGCACUCUGGUGAGACUGCCGGUGACAAACCGGAGGAAGGUGGGGAUGACGUCAAAUCAUCAUGCCCCUUAUGACCUGGGCUACACACGUGCUACAAUGGAUGGUACAACGAGUUGCGAACUCGCGAGAGUAAGCUAAUCUCUUAAAGCCAUUCUCAGUUCGGAUUGUAGGCUGCAACUCGCCUACAUGAAGUCGGAAUCGCUAGUAAUCGCGGAUCAGCAUGCCGCGGUGAAUACGUUCCCGGGCCUUGUACACACCGCCCGUCACACCAUGAGAGUUUGUAACACCCAAAGUCGGUGGGGUAACCUUUUAGGAACCAGCCGCCUAAGGUGGGACAGAUGAUUAGGGUG
rnacentral:rRNA from 2 species